rnacentral:tRNA from 1 species
CGUCGCUAGUGAGCAGAAGAGCGCACGGAGCGCCUGAAAGCCCUUUCAAGGCGGCAGCGCGGGUUCGAAUCCCGUUGGGGAGACCCA